AACCCCAUUAAGCAGGUUACCCACGUGUUACUCACCCGUCCGCCACUCGUUCAAAAUUAAAUCAAGGUGCAAGCACCUUUCAAUAAUCAGAACUCGUUCGACUUGCAUGUAUUAGGCACGCCGCCAGCGUUCAUCCUGAGCCAUGAUCAAACUCUGA
rnacentral:rRNA from 1 species